rnacentral:rRNA from 1 species
ACAUACGCGUAGAGUUUGAUCAUGGCUCAGAGCGAACGCUGGCGGCAGGCCUAACACAUGCAAGUCGAACGGCUCUUCGGAGCAGUGGCGGACGGGUGAGUAACACGUGGGAACGUGCCUUUUGGUUCGGAACAACACAGGGAAACUUGUGCUAAUACCGGAUGAGCCCUAUGGGGGAAAGAUUUAUCGCCGAAAGAGCGGCCCGCGUUAGAUUAGCUAGUUGGUGGGGUAAUGGCCCACCAAGGCUACGAUCUAUAGCUGGUCUGAGAGGAUGAUCAGCCACACUGGGACUGAGACACGGCCCAGACUCCUACGGGAGGCAGCAGUGGGGAAUCUUGCGCAAUGGGCGAAAGCCUGACGCAGCCAUGCCGCGUGAAUGAUGAAGGUCUUAGGAUUGUAAAAUUCUUUUAGCAGGGACGAUAAUGACGGUACCUGCAGAAAAAGCCCCGCUAACUUCGUGCCAGCAGCCGCGGUAAU